GCAUAAUCACUAGCUUUUUAAUUGAAGACUCGAAUGAAAGGUAGAAAUAUAAGAGGAUAGUUUUAAGAGAAAAAUUUUAACUUUAAUUAAAGGUAAAAAUGCCUUUAUUAACUUUCAGGACGAGAAGACCCUAGAAGUUUUAAAAUAAAAUUUUUUGGUUGGGGUGACCAAAGAAAAAAAAGAUCUUUUCUAAAAGAAAAUUCUGGUAAAAAUUACUCUAGGGAUAACAGCGUAAUUUAAUUAAAGAGUUCUUAUUAGAAAUUAAGCUUGCGACCUCGAUGUUGAAUUAAAU
rnacentral:rRNA from 1 species